rnacentral:misc_RNA from 1 species
CUGCGCCGGACCCGGCCGACGCCACCUUCGCCGGCCAUCUUCGCCGGCCACCUGCGCCGGACGCCGCUGUGCCCCGACGCCCCGAUAGCCGCCCGAAGCGCCGCCGCCCCGACGCCCGCACACAAGCGCCACCGCCCCGACGCCCGCACACAAGCGCCGCCGCCCCGACGCCCGCACACCUGCCCCGACGCCCGCACAGCGCGCCGCCACCGCCGACCCUCGAGCCGCCCGCGCCCGGCUUUGCCCGCCACCGCCGCCUUCCGGGAUGUUAACGAGACUCGAGAGAAGGAGGCGAGGGGUGAGGAUGCGACCGAUUAUGAUGCGGCUGAUGCAGACUAUGAGCAAGAAGAUGAUGCUGGAGGUGGAGCUGGAGAUGGGUGGUCUUCCGGUGGUGGUCAGUUUGAGGGUGGAGGGUCUUGGAUUGAUGCAUCUUUUCAAGGUCAAGGACGUCGCACACAGCAAAUAGCACUAGGGCAACGUCCAGAUUUUUCAGCGAUGACUAUGCCACCUCCUCCACCUAUCCCGCAGUUUGUACCGACUCCACAAUUUAGUUGGCCCACACCUGCACCUCAGGUCCCUCCAGGAAACUUGCUAACUCCGGGAAAUGAGGACUCUGAAGAUGCGGUCGCUUCUUUUGUGGACGGUCUUCUAAACAGUGGAGGAGCUAGCGGAUCAAAUCAACCACAUCCAUUUGAUCAACCUCCUCCAUUUGAGUAG